rnacentral:lncRNA from 1 species
GUAACAAAGAGGAGGUCUCUUCAGUACAGUUGCUGCUUCCAUUAGCAGGAAGCAGAGAAGACUUGCUUCCCACCCAGGUCUUCCUGGAAGUUGAGUUUUGGUCUUUGUCCCAUUCCCAUGCACUAGCUGCAGAAGUUGGACUCAGAGAGAAGACUACUACAGUCAGUCCACCCAAGUCUUCCACUGAGGAAUCUGCAGGAGGC